rnacentral:rRNA from 1 species
AACGAACGCUGGCGGCAUGCCUAACACAUGCAAGUCGAACGAGACCUUCGGGUCUAGUGGCGCACGGGUGCGUAACGCGUGGGAAUCUACCCUCAGGUUCGGAAUAACUCAGAGAAAUUUGAGCUAAUACCGGAUGAUGACGUAAGUCCAAAGAUUUAUCGCCUGAGGAUGAGCCCGCGUAGGAUUAGGUAGUUGGUGAGGUAAAGGCUCACCAAGCCGACGAUCCUUAGCUGGUCUGAGAGGAUGGUCAGCCACACUGGGACUGAGACACGGCCCAGACUCCUACGGGAGGCAGCAGUGGGGAAUAUUGGACAAUGGGCGAAAGCCUGAUCCAGCAAUGCCGCGUGAGUGAUGAAGGCCUUAGGGUUGUAAAGCUCUUUUACCCGGGAUGAUAAUGACAGUACCGGGAGAAUAAGCUCCGGCUAACUCCGUG